ensembl:lncRNA ERICH1 antisense RNA 1
ACUGGGCAGACCUUGCUGGCCACGGCCUCCACGUGCAGUGACCGUUCUCUUGGCAGCGUCUCAGGCUGUCUGGACCAGCUGUCACAGUCUCGCUGUGGGUGAGUCACCUGAGGCACUGUAUGGCGGAUAGAAGGAUUCAUUGCCCUGGGAGGUUUUGCCUGGCAUUCUGCAGAAGCAUUGCUGUAUCUUACCAGACAGGAAUACAGAUGAAGACCCCCAGGCCCAGGGAAUUCGAUCACUGGCUGAGAACUCACAGCUAAGGAGGGGGAGCCUGGGAUUCCUUCCUGGUGCUCACACCCGAGACCCUUUUGUCACUGUGUUCAAAGGCACUGCUGCACAGACGUGAUUCUUCUUUCAACGAACAUCUCCAGGACUUCCUCCGGGGUCUGUGACCUCAUCUAUAAUUAAAGGGAAAGAGAUCUUCCUGAGAUUAGCCCAUUUAACUUGUUUAACUAGAUGCAUGCUGCAAAAACUGUUUUCAAGAAAUGAACAAUUGACUAUUUAAAAAGAGCCAAGCCUUAAAAGAAGACCAGGUUUUAAUAGGGAAAACAUUCAGUAAAAUAUUAUUCUGCAGUAACUUGUGGAAUGACUGCUGUACACACAGCUCUGGGCUGGGUACCUGGAAGCUCACGAGCUUGUUUGGCCUCCCCUCCUGGACACAGGAGGUGUCAAGGCUGUGGUCAGCAGAAUCUACCCAGCUGGACACUGAGUGGACGCCCUGUGGGGUGGCUGUGAAAUGGGUCCACUUUGUAGUGGCAGCAUCCCUGAUAGUACUUCUGAAAGGGACAAGAUAGAAAAGCAAACCAAACUGAAACUGAGAAGUCGUGGAUGAUACCAGGGGCGCACAGUGGCUGACAGGAAGAGACUGCCUGGGGGGUCUCGGAGCCAGUGGCUGGAGUGGAGUUAGUUUGACCGAGUCCUGGACUAGGGAGGGGACCCCCAAAGCAUGCCCAGCAUGGCGCUAGUGGGGCCCAGGCACCCCAUGUCCCAACGACUAGAACCAAUAAUCAGGUUAACACUCAUUAAAUAAGAAGUGUCUGUGCCUCCUGGGAUAAAAAUCCUUUAUAACGAUCUGGGACGCGAGCUCAAGUCCCUGUUCCCUUGUCCUCCACAGCAGUGUGCAGCGUGGAACUCGGCGGUUCGGGGUCCCUGAGUCCCUGAGCCACUGUCUACCCCCUGCUCCAUCCCAAAUGCAGAGACCCCUGAGCACUCAUGUGGACAUGCCCCACCAUGCCCUGGCUGCUCCUUCAGGAUGGCGCAGGGCCACCGCUAUGGGAGGACUCUAAAGGGUGGGUCUCAAGCCCUCCUCUGCUUACCCUAAAUCAGGAGAGCAAACCGAAUGCACUGCCCUCUUCCUUCACUCCUGCAUCCCAUCCCCCGCUAUGGCCUCACUAUCAGGUCUGCUGUGUGCCAAAAUAUUUUACCAUGCCCUAAAAGUGAGAUGUUGGAAGUGGACAAGGAGGAAAUAUUUAUGAAUAUUUGAGUCUGUUAUUCUUUAUGUUAAGCAUUUUGGCUUCUGUUGUACUCCUAAAUCACUACUGAGAGCAGAGAAAGAGCUCUUUGUAGAAAUGAGAUGUGUUCCUGUGUGCUGCCUGUGACGCAUCCCGUUGUCACCGGAGUGCCGUGGCCCUAAGGAAUGACAGCAUUAAGGCAUGGACGUUAAAGAUGGACAAAAGAAUUGUUCACGGUGUUGUAUUUUAAAAUGACUAUGUGUAUGACAAUUAAACUAUUGUGUCUUCGUUUA